AACGAACGCUGGCGGCGCGCCUAAUACAUGCAAGUCGAGCGAGAAGACGUAGCAAUACGUCUGUAAAGCGGCGAACGGGUGAGGAAUACAUGGGUAACCUACCCUCGAGUGGGGAAUAACUAGCCGAAAGGUUAGCUAAUACCGCGUACGCUCCUUGGACUUCGGUUCAGGGAGGAAAGCGAUACCGUGGGUAUCGCGCUCUUGGAUGGGCUCAUGUCCUAUCAGCUUGUUGGNGAGGUAACGGCUCACCAAGGCUUCGACGGGUAGCUGGUCUGAGAGGACGAUCAGCCACACUGGCACUGCGACACGGGCCAGACUCCUACGGGAGGCAGCAGUAAGGAAUAUUGCGCAAUGGGCGAAAGCCUGACGCAGCGACGCCGCGUGGGGGAUGAAGGUCUUCGGAUUGUAAACCCCUUUCGGGAGGGAAG
rnacentral:rRNA from 1 species